AUGUGGGUAGGGAAGGUAAAGAGCUGGAGAAGAAGGAACCUGAGAGGAGAGGAGAGUGAACCACAGGUCGAAGGGAAGGAGAAGGGGACCCAGGCAGAUGAGAAGAGGUAAAAGGUCAGAGUGGGAAAUAAGAGUAAGAAGGGAGGGGGGUAGUUUCUUUUUUACCCAAAGAGAGAUUGAUAUUCAUGCAUCAGGUUGGAGGCUACCCAGAUUUAAUACAAGGUGUUGCUCCUCCUCCCUGAGGGUGGCCUCAUCUCAGCACAAGAGGCCAUAGACUAACUUGUGAAUGGAAAUUGGAAUUAAAAUGUUUCGCUACUUUUGGUGGAUGGUGAGGGGGUGCUUGACGAAUGUACCUUUUGCGACAGACAGAACGAAGAUGCUCAGUGUGACUGAAGAAACUGAAGGGUCUCAUCCAAAACUGGUCCUUUCCAUUCACCGAUGCCACCUGACCUGCAUCUCGGUUAGGGAGAGAGAGUGUGAUUGGACUAUCUCCCUGACUUCAUUCUCCAAUAAUUCCUAACCAAAUGGUUCACUAACUUGCUGUUCAAGAAAGUUAUCUCUGAUGUAUUCUCUGAAGUCCUCCUCAAGAUUACUAAGGCGAACUUGAUUCACUCAAUCUGUUGGUUGUCAGUCAUAUCCAGGAGACCUGUGCUGGGGCCGUGGACAAUUCUGAUUUGAUGGAGAAGGGACGUGAAAGCACAGAGGAACAUCUGGAGAAAUUUCUGAAACGCCCGUCCACUGAUGUCGUUACUGUGCGGUUGGGAAUCUUUUGGAGGGUCGGCCUCAAAAUCCCCAGCCUUGCCUGCUUUUGGCAACUGAGAAGGAGGUCGAGUCGUUCGGACAGAGAUGGCGCUCAGUACUCGGUGUCGGAGAGCUGAUCAGAGCUUGAAGUUUUCGGAUAACUCAGAGUCGGAUUGUGGUCGGCAUGGCAGGGAGAGUUUUUCUUCCUUCUCCCGUCUGCGUGGGACGUGGGACAUUUGAGAAACUUUGAACUUUACUGUGCUCACGGACUUCUUCAUCAAGUUAUGGUAUCGUGCACUGUUGUAACUAUAUGUUAUA